AACUGCUCCACCCCAAGUCCAGCAAUGAGUACGGUAUUAUGGACAUGGCCCAUAGAGGGUGAAAGGCCCGUGGGGGUGGAGAUCAGGCAGGCCAGUGUCUUCCUGGGUAGACCUUGGAGUCGGGUUGUUUGUGAAUGCAGCCCAAAGAGGGUGGUAAACUCCAUCCAAGGCUAAAUACAUGCACGAGUCCGAUAGCGAACAAGUACCGUGAGGGAAAGUUGAAAAGUACUUUGAAGAGAGAGUAAACAGUGCGUGAAACCGCUCAGAGGUAAACGGGUGGAGUUGAACUGCAAGCUUUGAGGAUUCAGCUGGUGAGUGUGGUUUGAGCUUGGUCAAAUUGGUUGGACUCUGGGGUCUACGUAGUAGUAGGUCUCUGCCUUCGGGUGGGGAUGCGCGAUACACUUAUCAAGUGUUGCGCGCCCUGGAUGUUCUUCGAACUGACUCGCCAGUGCACUUUCUCAGAGUGUUCACCACGACCGGCACUGCUGUCUGACUGUUGUGGUUAAACCGGUCUUGCUUAGUCCUUGUGGCUUUGUUUGGUCGGGAUGGCAGGUAGCUCGUUGGCUUGCUUCGGCUUGCCUUCGGGUGUAAUCAGCUGACUGUAACGGUUCUGUGCAGUGUGUCGGAGACCGCGGCUUGUGGUGUGUGCAUUCGUGCCUGAUCUGCUGGCGUGUUCGGGUUUGAUUGCCAUGUUGCCUGUUCAAGCAGGCCUGGUGGUAGCUCGGAUACGUUCGGUGGGCGGUUGCGUUUGUGUCACUAUUUACAGGGCCAAUAGUCUGUGGUGUAGUGGUAGACUAUCCACCUGACCCGUCUUGAAACACGGACCAAGGAGAGUAACAUGUGCGCGAGUCAUUGGGCGUAACGAAACCCACAGGCGCAGUGAAAGUAAAGGUUUGGCUUGUCCAGACUGAGGUGAGAUCCUGUCGUUUCUCACGCAUGGUACCACCAAGCAUCGAGCGGCAGGCGCAUCACCGGCCCGUCCCAUGACGUAGACACAUAGUCCUCGGACCAGUGCACCGUCGGGGCGGAGCAUGAGCGUACAUGUUGAGACCCGAAAGAUGGUGAACUAUGCUUGCGCAGGUUGAAGCCAGAGGAAAUCUGGUGGAGGACCGCAGCGAUUCUGACGUGCAAAUCGAUCGUCAAACGUGAGUAUAGGGGCGAAAGAU
rnacentral:rRNA from 1 species